GACGAACGCUGGCGGCGUGCUUAACACAUGCAAGUCGAACGGAAAGGCCCCCGUGUGGGGUACUCGAGUGGCGAACGGGUGAGUAACACGUGAGUAACCUACCCUUGACUUUGGGAUAACUUCAGGAAACUGGGGCUAAUACCGGAUAGGAGCUCCUGCUGCAUGGUGGGGGUUGGAAAGUUUCGGCGGUUGGGGAUGGACUCGCGGCUUAUCAGCUUGUUGGUGGGGUAGUGGCUCACCAAGGCUUUGACGGGUAGCCGGCCUGAGAGGGUGACCGGCCACAUUGGGACUGAGAUACGGCCCAGACUCCUACGGGAGGCAGCAGUGGGGAAUAUUGCACAAUGGGCGGAAGCCUGAUGCAGCAACGCCGCGUGCGGGAUGACGGCCUUCGGGUUGUAAACCGCUUUCGCCUGUGACGAAGCGUGAGUGACGGUAAUGGGUAAAGAAGCACCGGCUAACUACGUG
rnacentral:rRNA from 1 species